UGAACCCAGGCCAGACACAUGCAUGCUGAUACUGAUUAUUUGUGUUCUUUGGCAGAGGCACUAGAGAAGCGUUAUAAUUCAGCUGUGCGUGGAGAGAGAACGAUUAUGCAUAUGUAACUUCCACUUGGUUAUCUACAGAUGUUGGAGAAUGCAGUCCACCCAACUUUUCUGUUUCUGGCAUCCGCCUCUCUGGUGGGUCUCAGGUCCUACUCUGUUCCUGCCCCCCUUGCUUUCUACACUGAGCCUCCCUGGCAUAUGCUCUCUCCUGUCACAGGCAUUUGGCACAUGCUGCUACUUCUAUCUGGAAUGUUCUUCACAGGCCUGCCCAUGCCUCUUGACCUAGUCAGCUUUGCUCUUCCUUCAGAUGUCAGGUUGCUUCUCAGGGAAGCUCUUGAGCAAGUUUAACCCUCUACCACAGGGUCCAGGAUGCCUGAUACUUCUCCUUUGUAAGCACCUGUUACCGUUGCAAUUAUACGUUUCUCUGUGUGAUCUUUUAUAAAAACUGCUUCCUGAAGUGUAGUGUAGGUAUGUGUGCCAGCUUAUCGAUAUGUGGAUAUUUGUUUUAUUAUGAGUUAUGUGUUUAUUUUAAUGUGCAUUUUUUUAAAAAAAGUCUACAUAGUACUGGUAGUAAUGAACAACAUUUUGUGAACAUUUUAGGCCACCUUAUGAUGGGUCUAAAGUAGAUAAAACUAUGAAUCCACCUAUGCAAACCAUGUGAAUCAGGAGCACUGUGGUCCGGAAACAGGCAUAUGUGGCAAACAUUUUGGAAACAGAAUGAAAAUGACUGAAAUUUGGGAAAGAAUGCAUUCGUCAGUAUGUUUCCCCUCACAAAAAUAUCCUCCUGAUGACACUGUGAGGUUCAUACUGUUUGUAUUUACUCAGGAGGAGAUGGAGGCACAGACAGAGGCGAUACACAGCUACAUCACUCCCACCGAAGACCGGAAGCGUACGGAGGAUGCUUCUCUCAUCCUUGGAAGCCUUUGCUCUAGAUUCGGGACUCCUUCCAGCUGCCUGUGGUCAGUGAAGUUCAUUGAAUUCACUGGAAGGGAACUGGGAGCCUCUGGUCUUUCCCACAAGUCCUCCUGUCUUCAUUUAACUCUAAGAGUGUGGUCAUGAAAGAAGAGGCCAAAGAGCUUCCAUUGGGAUCCAGGCCCAGCCCUCUCCAGCCUCAUGUCACACCACCUGCUUGUUCAGUCACUCCAAGCUCUUUCUUGCCCCAGGAUCUUUGCACAUACUAAGCUCUCUGUCUGGUAACUUCUUCCUCUAGAUAGUCACAAGAUUGCUUCUCUCCUCCUCCGGGCCUCAACCUAAAUAUCCCCUCCUUGGAGACACCUUCUCCAAGUGUCUGAUGAAGUGCUGUGUGGCACUCUGUAUGGUGGGUCCUUUCACCCCACCCCUGCUGUGCCGGUACUUCCCUAGUCCCCACAUGGCUCUUUCUCAGACCCUUGAUUGCUUCUUUUGUGGCCCUUAACAUACAAUUAUUUGAUUAUUUAGGGGUUCAUUCAUUUGUUUCUGCCUUUCCAAGAGAAGGUACAUCUGAGAGGAAGGGCAGGAGUCCUGGCUGAUCUGUGCCUCCUUGCGUCCCCGGCCUCUCGCAGUGUCUUGUACAUGGGGGACAGACAGCAUCCACUUGCUGAAUGAAUGGUGUCAGGCAAAUGUUGGCAGAGAUGCUGCUGCUGGUCCCCCAUCAGUGACCUGUGAGUUUUUAACUGUGUUUCCAACAGUUCAAAGUGAGAUGGGAUCAAGAUGAGAGUCAAAAGGCUCGAGGCUGGCCUCUACCCCCAACAGCUGGCCAUGCUCCAUCCCCUCUCUGGGCCUCAGCCUCCUUGUCUGUACAAUGGAAAGAUUUUUCUUUCCCACGUACUGGGGAUUGAACCGUGGGGGCUCUCUAGCACUGGAAAACAUCCCCAGCCCUUUUUAUUUUUUUCAUUUUGAGGCAGGUCCUCACUAAAUUGAUGAGUCUGCUUUCAAUUUGCAAUCCUCCUGCCUCAGCCUCCCGAGUCUCUGGAAUCACAGGUGCACACCACAGCAACCAGCAGAACCACAUACUUUAUGAUUCCAUUUACAAGGAAGGCCCCAAAGAAACAAAUCUAUAAAUAUAGCAGCAGGUUAGUGGUAGCCAGGGUCUCCGCAGGGGUGGGAGUGGAGAUGGAGGAAUUAUAGUUAAGGGACAUGGGGUUUCUCUUUGAAAAUAUUCUCAAAUUGAUGGUGGCGAUGGCUGUCCAACUCUAUUAAGAAAAAAUGUAAGAAAAAAAAAACACUGGAUGAUAUAUUUUAAAUGGGUGAG